rnacentral:rRNA from 1 species
UACAGAGGGUGCGAGCGUUAAUCGGAAUUACUGGGCGUAAAGCGUGCGUAGACGGCUAUCUAAGUCGGGUGUGAAAGCCCCGGGCUCAACCUGGGAAUUGCAUUCGAGACUGAAUAGCUAGGGUGCGGUAGGGGAGACUGGAAUUCCUGGUGUAGCGGUGGAAUGCGCAGAUAUCAGGAGGAACACCCGUGGCGAAAGCGGCUCUCUGGGACGGUACUGACGCUGAGACGCGAAAGCGUGGGGAGCAAACAGG